rnacentral:lncRNA from 11 species
CGAUGAUGAUGAUGACGAUGACAGUGAUGACAAAGAGCAUAGCCGGCAUCACCAUCAUCACCAUGACGAUGACAAUGAUGACGAUGAUGAUGAUGAUGAUGACGAUGAUGACGACCUCAUGGCCAUCAUCACCAUGGUGGCCAUCAUCACCACAAUAAAGAAGAGGAUGAUGACGAUGACGACGAUGAUGAUGACAAUGAUGAUGAUGAUGACGACGAUGACAAAGAACACCACCAUCACCACCACCACCACCAUCACCCUGGUGAUAAUGAAGAAAAGUCUGAUGAAGAUGCUUCUAAGAAAGAAGAUAAGCAUAAAGGUCACAAAGAAAAGCAUCACAAACAUGAAAAGGCCAAGAAACAUCAUGAAGAAGGUGAGAAAAAUUAAGUGGUUGGGAUGGGGGAUGUGAUGGCUCCAUAUUUGUUUUUGUUAGUAGGACUUAUGAGCCAAUUCAAGCCAGAAACCAAACUAUCCAUUCCACCUUCCAGUGCUCUUUCCAAUUGGAUGUUUCCGGAGGGAGGGGCAUAAACUAUGAUUUCCAGUGGCUUCAGUUCCACACAAUUAAAGAAUCCUGGCUCUAAAAUGCAGUUGCUAAUGUCCUUCAGGCCCAUAUAUCUGGGACCAAUAUUAUUCAUGAUUUCAUUUAUUCGGGUCCAACAACAAUAUCCACUUUAUGCAUUUUCUACAUUUUCCAUUGUGACUCUAGAGGAUAUUCUUGGGUCGAAAUGCUUCAUUUCAAUAAGGUUCACCAUUAUCCAUGGUUUCAUGGAUCCUGAGAAUGUAUCCUCCAUGGAUACAAGCAUCGAGACUGUACUUUUCCUUACUGUUUUCAGAAAACUCAGGAAUCCCAGUACCUUCCUUUCAAGCACCAACCCUACUAGGAACCCAGUGGCCCUCUUGAUCUCCUUUCUUUUCCACCAAGAUAUAACUGGAUCACUGUGUCUGUUUUUAUCUUCCAUUGAAGAUGAUGAUGACGAUGAUGACGAUGAUGACGAUGACGACGAUGACGAUGAUGACGAUGAGGAAUAUGAGGCAGGGUCUGUUUGCCACUACUGUACCUUUUGCAAGCAUUGUGAUGAGUGUGACAAAUGUCCCUGUAAAGAAGGAGAUACCAGUGAACACUGUGCAAGCUGUCAGUACUGUCAUUUCUGUUACAUUUGCCCUGUUUGUGAGACAGCCUGUACACCAGGGAGCAUCGUAGAUGAAUUAUCAGGAGCCUUAUUUCAGACAAUUGCCACCAUUUUCGAGCAGCAACAGCACUGAAGCGCCCCCUGCUGGAGAGGACAAAACUGGAGAGGAAAGAGACAGCAACCCUUGACUUUUAGGGUCAAAAUGCACCAGAUGCUUCCACGAUUGUUCUUCCCAAUAGUUUUAAUCCCACCCUUGUACUAUCAAGGCUUUUCCUUCUAUUAUUUCACCCUCAAAUGAUAAAGGGUUCCUCUACUGAGAGUCUCAACCUGGGGUCCCCAGAUAUUUUUGGUCUACAACUCCCAGAAAUCCCAGCCAAAUUACCAGCUGUUAGGAUUUCUGGGAGUUGAAGGCCAAAAACAUCUGGGGACCUCAGGUUGAGAACCACUGCUAUACCAUAUUCUUGGAAAAGUUACUUUUAUGGACAAAAGCUCAUGGAACUCAUUAGCUAAGGAUGCUCAUAGUCCAAAAAAGUAUUUUUUUCCAAGUCUGCCUUUUGUCUUUCACAAGUGGUAAAAGAAGCUGUGAUUGUGAGUAGACAGCAAGCAAGGAAAGAAUUAAAUAACCUAGCUCCUCCACGUAAUAACAGUUUCCAGCAGCUUUUCCUAUAAAAGAAAACUUGUUGGUAGGAAGAAUCACAAAACUAAUUAUUGUGUAAUUUGGUUCUUACAGUUUUGUUGGAAGGCCAUUCCAUGCAGGCUAGGACCUGCUGGGCCAGGAGGGAAAUCCCCAAAGUGAACUAAUCCACCUUGGAGCAAGGGUUCCCAUAAGGCUUACCUAAUACCUCUGUGCUCUAUGCUUUCUCAGCCUCUAAAUUACUAAAAGUUUAAUCCAAUUUGUGGAUUGCUUCAGAGGGAUAGGCUUACUGCUCACACCUAUCAGAUCCCUAGAGUGUGUUUGCACUGUAGAAAUAAUGUAGUUUGAUACCAAUGGCUCCAUGCUAAGGAUUCUUGGGAUUUGCAGUUUGUUAUGGUGCAAGCACUCUUUGGGAAAGUGGGCUAAAGAGUAUCUAAAACUGCAACUGCCAUGAUUCCAUAGCAUUGAGCCAUCACAAUUAAAGUGGUGUCAAACUACAUUAAGUCUACAAUGUUCCUGCAUUCUAGAAACUGGUUGCGGUACAAUCCCUUUGAAAUAUUUUAAAUGAAAAGCAACACAUCAUGUUUCAUAGAUUAAGUAUGUGUGAAUGCUUUCAUCCCAUCUCUGGGAGUUAUAAUCCAACAAAUUUUGGUACCGUACGAUUUCACUUUUCUUGAUGACUUGCUGCUGAAUUCUGAAAUGACUUCAAUUGUGUUUUACACCUUAGGCUAGUUUGAUUUCUGGUAUUUGAUCCAUGAUCAUUUAUACGCAGUAGUCUAUACUAGAUACCUUCUAUCAUCAAGGGAUAAGUAUACCUGUCUAAAAAAACUUUUAUGUUGCCUUACAAUGCUAAAGCUGCUGCAACCCCAACAUGAUUGAAGUCAUUUCCCCCAAAGGAGUCCUGGGGAUUGAAUCUUUUCUAAACCUGCCAAAGAAUCAGAUACGAUUAUAUCCUCGUAGAAUAAUUGACACCAUGAUCCAGUUUUAAUAAGCCAUCACAACUGAAACAGCGUCCACUGUCAUACUCUCAAGAGAUGUUCCCUGUGGUACAAAACUGGUUUUAUAAUUGUUAUGAGAGGAAUGAGGAACCUUGGGCAUUCCAGAUGGGACUAUGGCCCCUUCUACACUGCCAUAUAAUCAGUUUGAAACAGCAUCAUAUGUAGCGUAGUUUAGACUCAUAUAAUACAGUUCAAUGCAUUGUAUGAGUCUACUAUGACCCUAUAAUGCAGUAAUAUGAGUUUCAUCUUCACUUACCAUUGUCAUGUAGACUAAAACUGAUGCAGUCAAACAUUUGGAGUGCCACGAGUUCCUUUUCUACAUUCUACAAGUGCCUUUGCUCUGUUUUACAUCAUACUGCUUCUGAAAUUCCUCUGAUUAACUGUUAAAUAUAUAUUUUUGUCCUCCUAUCUAGGGACUGACUGUGGUACCAUAAGGAAGUUUCUUCCUGCUUAGAAAGACAUCUUACAAUAUUAAAUCUAGCUAAGAACUACUGCCAACACUGUUUUGCAAAGAGAACUCAAAUGGAAGUAUAAUAUGGGCCUUUGAGUAGAGCAAAAUAUAGCAAAGGCCAUUUUCCGGCCGUUGAAUAAUAUAUAGAGCUGUGGCUUCUCUUCUGAAGCCCAGCUUCUGUUGCUCCUUUGUACCAGAGUCCAGAGGUUGACCCAAACACAAGAAAGAGCAGCCUGUAUGGUCAGCAAAGGUGCCCUUUGCACGCUAAAGGCUGGGUCUGUUGGCAAGGGUCACCCCAGAGCUCUAGGACCAGGCAGCUGUGGCUAUGGGACAACCAACAAGUCCCAUCUGAGUCGUCAUUUUGUUAUCGAGCAGCAGUGGAUAGUGAGAUUCAAGCCACUGUGGGUUAAGCCUGGUGAGAAAAAGAAGCCAAUAUUCCAGAAUAGAUGGCUAUACUUCUGCUAGAGAGCAAAAUCCCAACUUGUUAUUGUUAGGUGCCUUCAAAUAAUGUCCAAUUUCUAGUGACCCUAAGGUUAGACCAACCUGUGGUCCCCAGGUGUUUUGGCCUACAACACCCAGCAAUCCCAGACAGUUUACCAGCUGUUAGGAUUUCUGGGAGUUGAAGGCCAAAACAUUUGGGGAUCCACAGGUUGAGAACUACUGGGAUAGACUGUCAUAGCUUUUUCGUGGCAAGAUGUGUUCAGAAAUAGGUUUGCCAUUGCCUUCUUCUGAGGUUGAGAGAAUGUAACUUGCCCAAGGUCACCCAGUGGGUUUCUGUGGCUGAACAGGGAUGCAAACCCUAAUCUCUAUGGUCAUAGUCUAUGUGGCAAGGAGAUCCUGUCGCUUCAAAGUUCAAACCCUGCCUGAACAGUAUCUGAAACAAGAUGCAAAGCUUUAUCUUUUCAUUUUUCAUGUUUUGAGACUCUCCUGCUUUGGCUCAAGUAAAAGAAAAACCUCCCCUACUCCUUUGUGACGCUGUUUCCCAGCUGCCUUUUUUAUUUUUAAUUUAUAGCCGUUGCUUUGUUCUCGUUUCAUGGAGAAUAACAAUUCACAAAAUUCUUCUGACAUGACUGGUGUUUUCUCUAAAGCCUUUGUUAUGACAAAGGGAGGAAUCAGGAAAGCUAGGGGGACAUUAACAGAGCUUGAAAACUAGUUGUUAAAUAUAGAAUGUUUGCUCCUAAACUUAAUACUUUCAGCCAUGAUUUUACAUUAUAUUAAUAGUUAAAUCAUAAUGAUAAUUUUGUGUAGGAAUCACAGAAUUAGUAAUCAUAGUUUUUCCACUUUUGCAGGGGUCCUGUGCCCCAAACCCAACAAAUGUGGAAGGAUGACAUUAAAACGAAUGCACUGUUCACUGGCCAAUACACAUUUUGGUGCCUCAAAUGUAGUCCUAUUUCUGGGUAUAUUUGACCUGCUGAUUCCAAAAAAUGGCACCAGUUUCCCUUAUCAGCUCUAGUUUUUGAGGUACAGAUAUGCUAUAUCCCAGUUUUCAUCUGCUCGUCUAUAAGAAAUCAUGAUAACAAUAUCAUGAACGGAUGUGGUCUAUUCACUGCAAUUUUCUGAUCAUCGCCUCCAAGCCCAGGAACAGGCCUAAAAAUCAAGGCACCAAGAAUUAUUUUAUUGGGCUGAAUAGUACAUUUCUUUAGGUACUUUAUUAAAGAUGCACUUCUUUAAAAAACAAAACGUUGAAUAUAUUGGCACAAAUGCUAAUGCUUUCAAGCUCUGUUAUGAGAGUAUUUUUCCAGACUUUAGAAACCCACCUUGUUCAAAUAUUUCUCUUGCACAUAUUCAUCUUCUUUCUUCCUUUCCAAAGACCUGCCCCAUUAUUUUGUUCCUACCCAAUAUGUCACAAGAGGUGGUUUCCUUUUAAAUUUGAUAUGGACUGUUCUUUUGGAUAGGUCUCUUGCUAGAUGUGUGUUCAUACUAUUUAUCUACUCAUGGUUAACCAGAUGAAGGUUGGUUAGACAUGGUCCGAAGUACUACUUUGCCAUCUGAGCUGAAGGACAAUAUGGCCCUCCUCUUGCACCAUAGAUGAAAGUGAACUUGACCAGCCAUUGAAACUUCUUCAGCACUGGCAAUAGGACAGCCAUCUCCACCAUGUGUUGAAGGCUUUCAUGUCCGGGAUCACAGGAUUGUUGUAUGUUUUCCAGGCUGUAUGCUCAUGUUCCAGAAGUAUUAUC